rnacentral:rRNA from 1 species
GACGUAGGGCGCGAGCGUUGUCCGGAUUUAUUGGGCGUAAAGAGCUCGUAGGCGGCUUGUUGCGUCGGCUGUGAAAACCCAUGGCUCAACCGUGGGCUUGCAGCCGAUACGGGCAGGCUAGAGUUCGGUAGGGGAGACUGGAAUUCCUGGUGUAGCGGUGAAAUACGUAGAUAUCUGGAGGAACACCGGUGGCGAAGGCGGCGAUCUGGCCCAACAUUGACACUGAGACUCGAAAGUGCGGGGAUCAAACAGG